AGUGAACGCUGGCGGUAGGCCUAACACAUGCAAGUCGAACGGCAGCACAGGAGAGCUUGCUCUCUGGGUGGCGAGUGGCGGACGGGUGAGGAAUACAUCGGAAUCUACCUUUUUCGUGGGGAUAACGUAGGGAAACUUACGCUAAUACCGCAUACGACCUACGGGUGAAAGUGGGGACGGCAAGGCCUCACGCGAUUAGAUGAGCCGAUGUCCGAUUAGCUAGUUGGCGGGUAAUGGCCCACCAAGGCGACGAUCGGUAGCUGGUCUGAGAGGAUGAUCAGCCACACUGGAACUGAGACACGGUCCAGACUCCUACGGGAGGCAGCAGUGGGGAAUNUUGGACAUGGGCGCAAGCCUGAUCCAGCCAUACCGCGUGGGUGAAGAAGGCCUCGGUUGU
rnacentral:rRNA from 1 species